GAUGAACGCUGGCGGCGUGCCUAAUACAUGCAAGUCGAGCGAACAGACGAGGAGCUUGCUCCUCUGACGUUAGCGGCGGACGUGUGAGUAACACGUGGAUAACCUCCCUAUAUUUCUGGGAUAACUUCGGGAAUCCGGCGCUAAUCCCGGAUAAUAUAUUGAUCCGCAUGGUUCAUUAGUGAAAGACGGUUUUGCUGUCUCUUCUAGAUGGUUCCGCGCCGCUUUAGCUAGUUGGUAAGGUAACGGCUUACCAAGGCGACGAUGCGUAGCCGACGUGAGAGGGGGAUAGGCGACACGGGAAGGGGGACAGGGUCAAGAGUACUAAGGGAGGGAGCAGAAGGGAAUCGGCGGCAAUGGGCGAAAGCCUGACGGAGCAAGGCCGCGUGAGAGAUGAAGGUGUUCGGAUCGUAAAAAUCGGUUAUGAGGGAAGAACAAAUGUGGAAGGAAAUAUGCAGGGAUUGACGGUAACGAAUAAGAAAGCAACGGCUAACUACGUG
rnacentral:rRNA from 1 species